AUUUUUUACCGUUAGAUCUACGCCUUUGAUCAUCACCCAUUAGAUUAUGCUAUUGAACCAACCACCUACUCAACCCUAGGGGGCCCACAUCAUCCUAACCGCACAUCUCUUAAUCCAAUGGCCAAAAAUCUACAAGCACCAAUAACUUGGUACUUUUAAAAGCAUAGGAGCUCAAUUAUAUAUAUAUAGAAUUAGGCUGGAAUACUAUUAAUAGUAAAACGGUCUUUUUGCUAUCAAGUUUUUAACCCUUGGAUGAAAAAUUGUAGGGUCAGGAUGAUAUUAGUCGGUUAGAGUUGAGUGGUCCCUCUAGGGUUGAGUGGUCCCCACUAGGUUAUAGUAUUUAAUCUAAUGGUUAGAAAUAAUGAAAAGAGUUGAUCCAAAGGAUAAAAAACUGGUAGCAACAAUAGGAUUUUGCUACUAAUAGUAGCCCCAGUCCAACUCUCUUU
rnacentral:lncRNA from 1 species